ensembl:lncRNA
CGGAAAUUUCCACGUGUUUGCGACAGACACAAGAGGAAGAGUGAGAAGGAUGAGGGGGGAAGCCUGAGUUUCUUCUCGUGAAAGAAGGAAAAAUGUAUAGGAAAUAGGCCUGUCAACGAACAGAGACUGGAUUUGUACGGUUUUAAGCUAUAUCAAGGAAAUAACUUACUUAUUUCAACCAAGACACAUCAGGAAAUAGUCGUUCCUCGGACGUUCUCUGCCAGAAUUAGAUUGAGAGAUCAUUCACAGCUUUGUGGAAGUUACCUGUGGCGUUGAUGUUAAGGCCAAGGCUCCAGGUCAGUGGGUGUAGUGGAGUAGAGGCAUCCCAGGGAGGAGUGAGAUUCUGGGGAUGAGAGGUACCUCCUCCCUCCCUGUCUCCCGCAGAGAAUCAGG